rnacentral:lncRNA from 1 species
AUGUUCCAGGGCGGAGUCUCAGAAAUGUUCAGAUUCACACCUCCCAGCCCCCACCGCACCCCCAGUUCUCCCAGGCCUCCCGCUCCCAGGGACCCCGGGCAGAGCUUGUGUGUGCCCAGGACCCGGGACAAGCCCCGCAGCCCUGAGGAAGCCCCUGGUGGGAGCCCGGCUGGGUUCUGGGUGCCAGAGAGGCUCAGGGGAAAGAAGGGCCAGGCUGUGCCCCACCCCGGGAAUCCCGGCAGUGCCCGGAGGAGGGGGAGGGGAAGCGGUCGGGCAGCGGGGACCAGGAGGGGAGAAGAGGGAAGAGUUCAGGUGCGGCGGGCCCCCGCCUGUCCGCAGCCCACGGGGACAGGGGACUCACCUCCUCCGGGGCAGGACGAACUGUGCAGGAGCUCAGCGGCACCGGACUCCCGGAUGGGGGAAGCAAAGGCUAUUCCUGCCCUUUACUUCCAGGCUGAAAACGUUGUCGAGAGCUGCUGACCAUUUCCUGCAAUAUUCGUUUGCUUGAAUAGACCCCUGGGGAGGCUAUUCCCUGCCCCGCCUGCCACCUCCGAUCAUUCUGCUGCAUUUCCCUGCCACUUGGGACUGUCUGGAAAACCAGACAUGGCCGGAUCUCUGUCGCUGACUGUCUGUGUGUCUCUCCACCUCACUCUGUCUGUGUGUGUCUCGAUAAAAACAUUAUAUUUGCAAUGAUGGGUCUCCCGGCCCUAUUUUUUUCAUCCUGGUGAAAGAGGUUUUCCUUUGAACUUUUCAGGGCCCCCCUCAAUCUCCACUUCUCACCACAGCAACAGGGAGAAGCCCUUACAAGCUAGCCAAGGAGCUGCCCCCCUCCUGGUGAUGGGAGCCCCGCAGAAUGCAAUUUCUCAUCAGUCCCUCUUCUGUGGCUGAGAGCACAACCGAGGCCCCUGUGUGCUCCUGAACCCUAGCAGAGUCACCCGUAGGGGAAUUGUCCCCGGCAGCCCCUUGUCCCCUUCCCAGGACCUGCCUUCUGCCCCCUUUACCAGGGCUGCGGCAGAAUCUCCCUGACCAGCCGGGGCAGUGCCAGCCUUGCUUCCUCCCAGGGGAACUGGUCUGCUGGGAGCUGCCAGCUUGGCCCCAGACCCCCAGGAAACAAGAGCCCCCACUGAACGGCCAGGAGGGAGCUGGGAGAGGUGGUUCUGCCCAAAGGAUCCCCUUUGGGUUUCUGAGCUUCUCUUCUGGGGCUGAGGCCUCUCCCAGCCCCAGGCCCAGCCUCCAGCCCCUUUGUCUGACCCCUGGACAUCCAGGCCCUGCUUUCUCUGGUCCCCUUCCCUCUGCUGUGGCUACCUUAGAGAAGGGCUUCUCCCCAAAGGGAGACUCUACCAGGACAAAAGGAGACACUUUACCCAUGACAGGACUGCCAGCUCCAGCUAAAGUACUUCACUGUCUAUUAUUAGUCAGAACUUGGGAGGGGGGGCUUUCCCUCACUUCGAAAUUGUCUCCUGGCAAAGUAAAAGUCUUC